GUCUCUUCGGGGAUGAUUAAACCGGCGCACGGGUGAGUAACACGUGAGUGACCUGCCUGUUAGACUGGAACAACUUACCGAAAGGUGAGCUAAUGCCGGAUGAGUUAUAUAAGUGCAUGUUUAUAUAGGAAAAGUUGGGGAGACCUGACGCUGAAAGAUGGACUCGCGUCCCAUUAGCUAGUUGGUAGGGUAAUGGCCUACCAAGGCGACGAUGGGUAGCCGGCCUGAGAGGGUGGCCGGCCACACUGGGACUGAGACACGGCCCAGACUCCUACGGGAGGCAGCAGUGGGGAAUUUUGCGCAAUGCUCGUAAGAGUGACGCAGCGACGCCGCGUGAAUGACGAAGGCCUUCGGGUCGUAAAGUUCUUUCGACAGGGAAGAAAAUGCCUAUAAGUAACUGUGUAUGUAUUGACGGUACCUGUAUAAGCAGCCCCGGCUAACUCCGUGCCAGCAGCCGCGGUAAUACGGAGGGGGCGAGCGUUGUUCGGAGUGACUGGGCGUAAAGAGCACGUAGGCGGUGUUGUAAGUCAUUAGUCAAAGACUAGAGCUCAACUUUAGUAAGGCUAGUGAUACUAUAAUACUAGAGUAUCAGAGAGGAUUGCAGAAUUCCUGGUGUAGCGGUGAAAUGCGUAGAUAUCAGGAGGAAUACCGUUAGCGAAGGCGGCAAUCUGGCUGGAAACUGACGCUGAGGUGCGAAAGCGUGGGUAGCAAACAGGAUUAGAUACCCUGGUAGUCCACGCUGUNAACGAUGGAUGCUAGGUGUUGGGCUUUNAA
rnacentral:rRNA from 1 species